rnacentral:pre_miRNA from 1 species
GAGGUACUCCCUCCGUUCUGAAUUACUUGUCGAAGAAAUGGAUGUAUCUAGACAUAUUUUAGUUCUAGAUACAUCCAUUUUCGAGACAAGUAAUUCCGAACGGAGGGAGUAGUAG